CGCGACACUAAGAUUUAUAUGUAUGUAGUAGGUGGAGGUGAUGGAAAAAAAGAAGCCAAGGAGGACCUGUAUCAGGGAUUUGCUGAUGAUUUGCAUGUACACCUGCUUAUGAAUCGAGAGGAAGCGUAACAGGGAGUGAUGUUUCCAAUGACUCUGCUCCGGAUUUUCUUGGAUCGAGUCAGAUAUGCAGUUUCGCAAAUCGAAGCGGCAUUCGACGGAAGAACUUCGUCCUCUCAGGAUGAAAAAGGACACAAAAUUAAUCAAUUAAUCGGUCUUUUCAAUUUUCUCCGGUGAAACUGUCGCUUAAGAGAGAGAGAGAGAGAGAGAGAGAAAGACUUACCAGUGACAUUGAGGACAUCCAAAAUGAUAAGAAUGAUAAUAAUCAAAAUGCUCCUUCUCAGAUAUACUAUCCCGAUUCCUUUGGAAUAUGAAGGGAACUACAUCAAUUUUAGGUAUUUAAUAUUUAAUUAAUGACAUACAUUAAUUUUAGAAGAAAAAUAAGAAAUUGGAGACUUUUUUUUC
rnacentral:lncRNA from 1 species